rnacentral:rRNA from 1 species
ACGAACGCUGGCGGCACGCCUAACACAUGCAAGUCGAACGAGACCUUCGGGUCUAGUGGCGCACGGGUGCGUAACGCGUGGGAACCUGCCCUUAGGUUCGGAAUAACUCCCCGAAAGGGGUGCUAAUACCGGAUAAUGUCUUCGGACCAAAGAUUUAUCGCCUUUGGAUGGGCCCGCGUUGGAUUAGCUAGUUGGUAGGGUAAAAGCCUACCAAGGCGACGAUCCAUAGCUGGUCUGAGAGGAUGAUCAGCCACACUGGGACUGAGACACGGCCCAGACUCCUACGGGAGGCAGCGGUGGGGAAUAUUGGACAAUGGGCGAAAGCCUGAUCCAGCAAUGCCGCGUGAGUGAUGAAGGCCUUAGGGUUGUAAAGCUCUUUUACCCGGGAUGAUAAUGACAGUACCGGGAGAAUAAGCUCCGGCUAACUCCGUG